GAAAAUUCUUCCACUAAAAGGCCGAUGGAGAUAAUUGAACUCUGUUCAUACAGUCCCAGGUAGAAAUCAAAUCCAAGACCCAGAGGUGAAAGAAGUGGUACUUUCAGGAAGGGCUUAUGAGAGAGACCAGCCUGUCUGGAAGAGGAAUGGAGACUUCAGCUUGAAGACAGAGUAUAACAGCAAAAGUGACUCACUUCCUAGAGACACAUGAAUCAGCACAAAACAAAUUAAACAAAGCAACAUUAAACAGCAGCAAAGAAAUCCUUAAAUCGUCAUAAGAAAAUGCCAAACAUCCAACAGGGCUGGAAGAGAGAAGGUACAGGGUGACAUAAAAUGGAGGAUGCUGCAAGCAAUAAUGAAAAGGAGAGAUGAAGAUACAGAUGGUGAAGAAAGGUCCUGUGAACGAGAUGCAGUUAUUUUUUUAUCUCAGCAGUAAGCAGAGCAUCCCAUUCCUUUUAUCAAGCCACCUAGGUAGAUUCUUGAAUCCACCUCCUGGAAAGGACGCAUAAACCUGCUGCCUGAGCUGUCUUAAGAGCUUGAUCAAGCAGUGAGAAAUAUUGUUCCAAUUGCACUGUAAUGCUAGACUGCAGAGAAAUAGUAACAGCCAGAUAUCCCCCAACUCCAGCAUGAAACACCUAUCUUAGCAGGUAAUGCGGCACGUCGCUACCCGUAAUUGUACUAAGAUUUGAAAUACAGUGCAUUUAGGAUGGGGAGUCAUAGGAGAGGACACUGGAGGCAUUUGAUAGUUGUAAGCAAAGACAGCACGGGAGCAGUGUCUGUUCACCUGGGACACUGAAAGCAUUGCAGAAGAGCACUGAAACGUAGGCAGUUGGUGGGCACUGAUCUGUGUCCCUCCUUCAAGAACAAAGUUUCAGGAUGCUAUAUGCAUUUUGAAAAUGCUUUCCUUUUCUAACUAUGCUUUGUUAAUUUAAACAAUUAAAUUGAUUUCAACUAAUAAUAUAGGUUAUAUGCAAUCCAUUUAAUUUAGCUUUCAGCUAAUAUCGGGAUCUAUUUCAGUUUACAACUUUAACUGACUUAUCAAUUAAGAUCUCACCUGAUGUAUUCAGGCAGAAAUUAUCAAGAUAUUGAAUUUAAAAUGCUUUUAAACAAUUUUUACAGAAGAGUUGCAGAAAGGUCCCCUGCUCUCCUUUGAAGCACCAAUUAUUCCCAUAAAACAAUUAAGCAUCAAUUUGUUCUUCCAUGUAGGUGUAAAGUAGGUGCAUUCAGUGAACAGUUGCUUACAGACUCAAAUGCAGAAGCACUAAUGAUUUUAGCAGGAUUCCUCUUGUGAGAGAAAGACAUAUAAUGAUGAAGAACCACAACAGUCAAGAUAGAAAACGAAAAUCUGGCAGAAUCAUAACAAAGGGAUAAACAAAGAAUAUUAACUGUAUAUAAAUAAACCUG
rnacentral:lncRNA from 13 species